UUAUACAGACAAAAUAAAGCUUUGUGUACGAACUGACUUAUCAUAUUUGUUACUUGUUCACAAAACAUAAAACAUUGACUUACUUUGUUUCCGAAUCGGUUUAUGUACGAGUUGUCUCAAGGAAAUCUGAUACUCAUGAACGUUUGAAAUUGCACACAGAUGUACCAAAACGUAAACGUUUGAUAAACACUGAAUAAUGAACUAGCGGGAAGAAGUUUGCAUCGACAUGAUCAUCAACAAUUAAGGUGAUGUUGCUGUAAGGCAAAAAUAGCAUGAAUUAGAUUCUUCUGUUCCUGUUCCUAAAAGCAAAAAAAUUCUUGAGAAAAAGGAAAUCCAGAAAUGAUCAGGAAUGUGGUGACAGGUCAGAGUUGGAAAAAUAGUAGAGCCUCUUGUUGUUAGUAAUGCAGCCCGCCAAACCACCAUGAAAGAGACUGAAAUGACUACUGCACAGAUAACAUUUUGAGCUGGACAUUCGGUGAAUUGAGCUGUAGAAACCAAGUGACAGAAAACAUAUCUUUUAGGCCAGGAAAAAUCAAUCUUUAGAUAUUCAAAAUAAUGUCAGGCACUUUAAUUUAUAACUCACCUGAACCUGAAUGCUGUAAAUGAUUAAUUACAAGCACCCCUCCUUCAUAAGUUGAUAGUGAUAGAUAUCAAUCUGGUAUACAAAUUCUUUGAUCUGAAGGUUUAUUUUUCUUAGCCUAAGACCAUUUAAGUGAACAUUGAUACAUUUUUGGGGGAACUCAUUGUAAAGCAUUUUUUUUGGGUGUAAAAAGAAAGAACUUAAACGUCUCAAUAAAGAUUAUUAAAAGUAUUUCAGUUUUUUUUCAUCAAAUUAUUUUCCCUUGUCUUUAAAUAUAUUAUUCUGAUAUCUGUAUCACAGUAUAAUCCCUAUUAACUGCCCCUACCCCUAUUAGCACCCCUUUAGGACUUUUUAAAUUGUCAGGAAAUAAGGGCCCCCUGAACAGUGAUGAAAGUCAUGUAUUUGAUUUUUUUUUUUUCAAAAGAUUUUUUGAAGUUAAAAUAGGACAUUAAAUAUCAAAAAGAGAAAACAAAAAUAACCACCCCAUUUUUGCAAUUUUCUAAGUGCCCGGGGCGGAUAAUAGGGAUUAUACGGUAGUAUAGAAAAUACAUGAGAUAGGCCUUUCGUCUGAAAGGUACCAUUUGCUAGUAUUAUUGAAUAAUGGAAAAGAAGUAUUAAUUUAUUGCUUU